UACGGAAGGCAGCAGUGGGGAAUAUUGCACAAUGGGCGCAAGCCUGAUGCAGCCAUGCCGCGUGUAUGAAGAAGGGCCUUCGGGUUGUAAAGUACUUUCAGCGGGGAGGAAGGCGAUGUGGUUAAUAACCGCGUCGAUUGACGUUACCCGCAGAAGAAGCACCGGCUAACUCCGUGCCAGCAGCCGCGGUAAUACGGAGGGUGCAAGCGUUAAUCGGAAUUACUGGGCGUAAAGCGCACGCAGGCGGUCUGUUAAGUCAGAUGUGAAAUCCCCGGGCUUAACCUGGGAACUGCAUUUUGAACUGGCAGGCUUGAGUCUCGUAGAGGGGGUAGAAUUCCGAGGUGUAGCGGUGAAUGCGUAGAGAUCUGGAGGAAUCCGGUGGCGAAGGCGGCCCCUGGGACGAGACUGACGCUCAGGUGCGAAAGCGUGGGGAGCAAACGAGGGAUUAGGAUACC
rnacentral:rRNA from 1 species